AGGACGAACGCUGGCGGCGUGCUUAACACAUGCAAGUCGAGCGGAAAGGCCCUUCGGGGUACUCGAGCGGCGAACGGGUGAGUAACACGUGAGUAACCUGCCCCUAGCUCUGGGAUAGCUCCGGGAAACCGGGAUUAAUACCAGAUACGACCACUUUAGACAUCUGUCGUGGUGGAAAGGAUUCCGGCUAGGGAUGGGCUCGCGGCCUAUCAGCUUGUUGGUGGGGUAACGGCCUACCAAGGCGACGACGGGUAGCCGGCCUGAGAGGGCGACCGGCCACACUGGGACUGAGACACGGCCCAGACUCCUACGGGAGGCAGCAGUGGGGAAUAUUGCGCAAUGGGCGAAAGCCUGACGCAGCGACGCCGCGUGGGGGAUGAAGGCCUUCGGGUUGUAAACCCCUUUCAGCAGGGACGAAGCGAAAGUGACGGUACCUGCAGAAGAAGCGCCGGCUAACUACGCGCCAGCAGCCGC
rnacentral:rRNA from 1 species